rnacentral:rRNA from 1 species
GACGUAGGGCGCGAGCGUUGUCCGGAUUUAUUGGGCGUAAAGAGCUCGUAGGCGGUCUGUCGCGUCGAUCGUGAAAACUUGGGGCUUAACCCUGAGCUUGCGGUCGAUACGGGCAUGACUGGAGUUCGGCAGGGGAGAGUGGAAUUCCUGAUGUAGCGGUGAAAUGCGCAGAUAUCAGGAGGAACACCGGUGGCGAAGGCAGGUCUCUGGGCCGAUACUGACGCUGGAGGAGCGAAAGCGUGGGGAGCGAACAGG